rfam:Bacillus sp. B-jedd genome assembly, contig: CONTIG000001
AGAGUACUGAUGAUAUUACUUCGUAUAAUACUGGGGAUAUGGCCCAGAAGUUUCUACCGAGCUGCCGUAAAGAGCUUGACUACGAGGUAUGUGUAAAGGGAG